ACGGUUUCCCCAGGCCCCUCGAGUGAAAAUACCAGCCCUCACCACUCCGCAGUCUGCCCCCCGGCCCACUGAUAGCAACCAUCAUAAUGCCCCGCCCAGCUUACGGCACCUUUUGCCACUCCGGCACAACACACAAACCGACACAGCUUUGUGAUCUCCCCAGCAUGCAGAGUCUGAUGUCGAUGUCUUCCCUAUAGAUGAUUCCAGAGACUCUGUGAGGCCACUAUUACAAGGCAAGUUUGAAAAUCUUG